rnacentral:rRNA from 1 species
UACGUAGGGGGCAAGCGUUGUCCGGAUUUAUUGGGCGUAAAGAGCGUGUAGGCGGCCAGAUAGGUCCGUUGUGAAAACUGGAGGCUUAACCUCCAGCGGUCGAUGAAAACCAUUUGGCUAGAGUCCGGAAGAGGAGAGUGGAAUUCCUGGUGUAGCGGUGAAAUGCGCAGAUAUCAGGAAGAACACCCGUGGCGAAGGCGGCUCUCUGGGACGGUACUGACGCUGAGGAGCGAAAGCGUGGGGAGCGAACAGG